rnacentral:piRNA from 1 species
UGCUGAGAAUGGGCAGGCCCAGGAGGAC